UACGAAGGGGGGCUAGCGUUGCUCGGAAUCACUGGGCGUAAAGCGCACGUAGGCGGCUUUUUUAAGUCAGGGGUGAAAUCCUGGAGCUCAACUCCAGAACUGCCUUUUGAUACUGAGAAGCUUGAGUCCGGGGAGAGGGAUGCGGAAUUCCAGGUGUAGCAGUGAAAUGCGUAGAGAUGUGGAGGAAUACCGAUGGCGAAGGCAGCCCCCUGGGCCAGUACUGACGCUCAUGCACGAAAGCGUGGGGAGCAAACAGG
rnacentral:rRNA from 1 species